GGCCUUAUGAGGUGAGUGGUUAACCUUCGGAUUCAGAGCAUCUCAAGCGUAAUGAGAAGGUCGCCGGUUCGAGUCCGGCCGCAACCU